rnacentral:misc_RNA from 1 species
UACGGAGGGUGCGAGCGUUGUCCGGAAUCACUGGGCGUAAAGGGCGCGUAGGUGGCGAUGUAAGCGCAUUGGUGAAAGCCCGGGGCUCAACCCCGGGUCUGCCGUGCGAACUGCGUUGCUAGAGCACUGUAGAGGCAGAUGGAAUUCCGGGUGUAGCGGUGGAAUGCGUAGAGAUCCGGAAGAACACCGGUGGCGAAGGCGGUCUGCUGGGCAGUGGCCGAAAGGCUUUUAGCUGACACUGAGGCGCGACAGCGUG